GAACUGCGAUAAGUAAUGUGAAUUGCAGAAUUCAGUGAAUCAUCGAGUCUUUGAACGCACAUUGCGCCCCCUGGCAUUCCGGGGGGCAUGCCUGUCCGAGCGUCAUCGCUGCCCUUCAAGCCCGGCUUGUGUGUUGGGUCGUCGUCCCCUCCGGGGGACGGGCCCGAAAGGCAGCGGCGGCACCGCGUCCGGUCCUCGAGCGUAUGGGGCUUUGUCACCCGCUCGAUAAGGACCGGCCGGGCGCCAGCCGGCGUCUCCAACCUUUUUUUCUCAGGUUGACCUCGGAUCAGGUAGGGAUACCCGCUGAACUUAAGC
rnacentral:misc_RNA from 1 species